CCUUUUGCUAGCUGCAUUAUAGAUAUUUGUUGUUUGUUUUUUUAAACAAGGUGGUUUCUCAGUUAUCUCUUUUAUUAAAUCAAUGUAAUUUUUUGUAGGUGGUAGAGCUGGGAUUUACCCUAGCAGCACUUGCUCAUGUUUGACACAAUUCCAUGAUGGAUGAAAAGAACAGUAAGUUAUGUCAGCAGUAGAGGUCUGGCUGUUCAAGCAUUUUAGGCAUAUUUUCAGCUUAGCAACCUUUGCUACAUGAGGCUUGUUUGCUUGCUGUACAGGAACAUGCAUGCUUUGGAAUUUCACCCCCAUCAUCAUGCAUGGAGGACAUAUCACUUUUAUUGAAUUCCAUUCUGAAGUAUACUAUAGAGGUGAACGCAAUUGUAGAGUUAAAAGUUCCUGAACUGAGUGAUCUGGGCUGACCUGGUUGCUGAUUGGCAAGCAUGGGAAGAAGUGAAGGACAUGUCUAUCUUUGAUGCCAUAAGACAAGUUGUUCAUUUGCAUGGAAGACGCUGAAUAAAGAGAGUCGCUAGCCCCACUUGUUAUUUCCUAGCGUUCAAUAAUCGAAGGCAUCGAUACAUUUAUCAGCAAGUCAUGGAAGGACCCUCUGCUGCAACAUGGAGAGCUUGCUCUUGUUCGCAUGUUUUGCUCGAUUUGCCAAGGUUCUCAUUUGAAGCUGAAAGAAUUAAAUAGGCAUUAGCAAUUGCUUUUUAUAAAGCCACAUUUUCACGUUCUCUUGACAUUCGAAGCAAGCCAGUGGCUUUGUAGAAGCCUCUUUUUCUGUUUAUUACAUCUUGUAUAUAUUUUGCCUUGAUUAUAUAAAUAAGUUUUUGGAGAAGGAUGAGGAUGAAGAUUUCACUG